GCUUUUUCAUUAGCUUUUAUCCAUCGAUCAUAUGCAUCCCGACUAGUUCGGUUAUCAUUAGAGGCAGGGUUUUGAGGACAUUCCUCAGUUAAGACAAAUCUUAAAUCGUCAACCACUAGUAUUGUGUUAAGAUUUGAUUUCCAAGCCGCAUAAUUAUCGCCAUUAAGUUUUUCGGAAGCUAAAAGUUGAACUAUUGAGCUAUUCAUGCU
rnacentral:lncRNA from 1 species